rnacentral:lncRNA from 1 species
AAGGUCUAUUCUAAAUUAUGUAAGUAUUACUACAUUUUUUGAAAGUCUUUUUAGAAUGCUGAAGAUCUUACUAAGAAAUUAUUUUCUAAAUUAAUUUUGUUUUGUAUUUGUAUUAGAUAAUUCCUUCUGUAUUGUUAGAUUUUAGGCUUUUAAAAAAGAAACCAUAGAUUAUAUAUAAAGGAUUUUUUGCUGGUAUGUUUUAUGUUUCGUUUCAUAGACUGAUUUUGAUAGACAGAUUUUAGAAAAGUGUUUUAUUUUUUUCCAAAAGAAAAGGUCCUGUCCUGUUGCAACGGUAGUUUGUCACUUUUCUGUAUGUUUCAUGUCUACAGAAAUUAUACAAAUGAUAGUUGAAAUAUGCUUAUAUAAAGACAGUUAAUCUACGUGUACUCAUUUAAAUAUCCUAGUACGAUGGCUCUAACAUUUGAUACACAUCAAAAACGUUUUUAAAAUAGUUGUGUCCAAGCCCCACCACACCUGGGGCCCUCUGCAUCAGUCUCCAGAACAUGCUAGAAAAGCUCCA